UACGAAGGGGGCUAGCGUUGUUCGGAAUUACUGGGCGUAAAGCGUGCGCAGGCGGCUGCUCAAGUCAGGGGGUGAAAAGCCCAGAGCUCAACUCUGGAAUUGCCUUUGAGACUGAGUGGCUUGAGUACGGGAGAGGUGAGUGGAAUUCCCAGUGUAGAGGUGAAAUUCGUAGAUAUUGGGAAGAACACCAGUGGCGAAGGCGGCUAACUGGUCCAGAUCUGACGCUGAGGUGCGAAAGCGUGGGGGGGCAAACAGG
rnacentral:rRNA from 1 species